rfam:Spinacia oleracea cultivar SynViroflay scaffold94506.con0002.1, whole genome shotgun sequence.
CUGAGUAGCGACGAGCGAACGGGGACUAGCCCUUAAGCUGGAAUGGUUCUAGAAAAACAGCCUGGAACGGCUGGCCAUAGAAGGUGAUAGCCCUGUAUUUAAAAGGGCCACUCCAGUGAAGACGAGUAGGGCGGGGCACGUGAAACCCUGUCUGAACAUGGG